GUCUUUAUAAUUAUACCAUAUAAUUAUUUUCUUAAUGAAAGUUUCACAUUUUCGAAUUAACUACUUAUAUAACAAUUUAAAAGUACAAAAAUUAAUUCACGAUUGAGAAAAUUUUAAAAUUCUUUAAAGCUAUAAUAAUCCUGUUGCUGUCUCAAAUAUUUCUUCAUCUUAAAGGUCAACACAAGUUCAAUUGUUAUCAUAAAUAUUAGAUCUACAGCCAGGUAUUUAAAACUGGAGUAUCUUUGUAGGAAAUUUUCUUACAUCUUUUCAUCUCAUAUAUUGAAAGCCAACCACAUAACUUGAUUUUUGUUUAAAUAUUCCAGACCCCUUUUGCAAAGUCGAAAUUUUCAUGUGUCGAAAAUGAAACUUACAACCAUGUAUUCGUCUCAUUUCUUAAAUCGUCUCCAAAGUUCAAAAAUACAAGGUAUACAAAACUACAUUAUUUUUGUCAUACUGUAAAAAAUAAUCUAUUAAAACAAUAUUUAAAAAGCAAUAAAGUUAGAAAGACAGUCAGCUGGUUACUUAGUAAUGGCUGAUUUCUAGCUUCAUUUUCAACAUAAUAUAAAUUUUGUAGUUGUAUUUCCAGAUCAAUGAUGAGAGCUCAAUCACAGAACAUGACUGUUUCCCUGACUUCCAGUCAAUACAGGCUGCUUUAAGAGUUUUUCGAAGACUAUUAAUAGUUUAAAUCUUUCUAAAUUUUUUAUGAGUACUAAAAAAAACACUAAAUGCUGUGCUUUUAUUCAUUUAAUAGACAACUUGCAAGUUAGA